UACAGGGGGUGCAAACGUUGCUCGGAAUCAUUGGGCGUAAAGCGCACGUAGGCGGUUCGUUAUGUCGGAUGUGAAAGCCCUUGGCUUAACCGAGGAAGUGCAUCCGAAACUGGCGAGCUAGAGUACGAAAGAGGAUCGCGGAAUUCCCGGUGUAGAGGUGAAAAUUCGUAGAUAUCGGGAGGAACACCGGUGGCGAAGGCGGCGAUCUGGGUCGAUACUGACGCUGAGGUGCGAAAGCGUGGGGGAGCAAACAGGGAUUAAGAAACC
rnacentral:rRNA from 1 species